AGAAUUGGCCAUCUUAAUUUCAAAAGACAUCAUAGAUUUGAAAAGAAGAAAUAUGGUUUCAGGGUUAACAGAAAUCGACAUUCCAAAUGAAAUUUUUAAGGAAUGUGUGCAGAUGAAGCAACACAAGACAUCUUUAACAAGGAUGCAAGAAGAAAGUUGAAGGCAAUUCUUGAAAUCAUAUACUUUGAUGUGUAUGAUCCUAUCCAUGUAGAUUUGAU
rnacentral:lncRNA from 1 species